rnacentral:rRNA from 1 species
GAUGAACGCUGGCGGCGUGCCUAAUACAUGCAAGUCGAGCGCUGCGGGAACGGGUGAGUAACAGGUGGAUAAACUCCUUUACGACCGGGAUAACUUCGGGAAACCGGUGGUAAACCGGCUAUUUAUAUAUGGAUGCGCGCGGCAUUAGCUAGUUGGUAAGGUAACGGCUUAGCAAGGCCACGACGCGUAGCCGACCUGAGAGGGUGACCGGCCACACGGGGACUGAUACACUGUCCAGACUCCUACGGGAGGCAGCAGUAGGGAAUCUUCGGCAAUGGGCGAAAGCCUGACCGAGCAACGCCGCGUGAGUGAAGAAGGUCUUCGGAUCGUAAAACUCUGUUGUUAGAGAAGCGGUAUCUAACCAGAAAGCCACGGCUAACUACGUGCCAGCAGCCGCGGUAAUAC